UACGAAGGGGGCUAGCGUUGCUCGGAAUUACUGGGCGUAAAGCGCACGUAGGCGGCUUUCUAAGUCGGGGGUGAAAUCCUGGAGCUCAACUCCAGAACUGCCUUCGAUACUGGAAGCUCGAGUCCGGGAGAGGUGAGUGGAACUGCGAGUGUAGAGGUGAAAUUCGUAGAUAUUCGCAAGAACACCAGUGGCGAAGGCGGCUCACUGGCCCGGUACUGACACUGAGGUGCGAAAGCGUGGGGAGCAAACAGGG
rnacentral:rRNA from 1 species